GAGCACGCGCGUGUGGCAUAUCAAUAAGCGGAGGAAAAGAAACUAACAAGGAUUCCCUUAGUAACGGCGAGUGAAGCGGGAAGAGCUCAAAUUUGAAAUCUUCAAGGUUCUACCUUGACGAAUUGUAGUUUAUAGAAGUGUUUUCUGUUAGUAGAGUGGCAAAAGUUCUUUGGAAUAGGACAUCAUAGGGGGUGAGAAUCCCGUAUUUGGUCAUUCUUUCUAGCUUUGUGAUACACUUUCAACGAGUCGGAUUGUUUGGGAAUGCAGUCCAAAAUGGGUGGUAAAUUUCAUCUAAAGCUAAAUAUUGGCGAGAGACCGAUAGCGAACAAGUACCGUGAGGGAAAGAUGAAAAGAACUUUGAAAAGAGAGUUAAACAGUACGUGAAAUUGUCAAAAGGGAAGCGUUUGACACCAGUGUUGUUUUUCCGAAAAUCAAUUACGAAUGUUUUGUUUUUAAGGAGUUAUGACUUCAUCGGCUUGCUUCUUUCUUUGCGAAACUUUCUUAAUGCACUUUUCGGUUAACAAGUCAGCAUCAAUUUCUUUUGUUGUAAAAGGGUAUGAGGAAGGUGGCUUUCUUUUCGGAGAAAGUGUUUAUAGCCUUGUGCCUCUACAAUCGGAGAGAUUGAGGUCUGCAGCGUAGAUCCUUCGGGGUUAGAUACGUUUGUGCUAAGUUAUAGCUUUUCAUAGACAACUUGUUGACUAUGUUUAGUCUUGUAGCUUACUCGCUUACGCUAUUUAUACCUACGCUUAGGAUGUUGAACUCUAUCACACACAG
rnacentral:rRNA from 1 species